GCUGCUGCAGCAGCAGAAGCGCUGACUCUUCCUCCCCACAACCAACCUUCGCCAGCGCCCCCCCCCCCCCGGGGCAGCUGCUGCCUUUAUGGGAAACGGGCGAAAACAUCGUGGCUGCUCAUCUGGUUCGGCACAUAUAUUUCUACUUAUCUACUGAUGCUGCCUCAAGGCCAAGAAAAGAAACAGUUGUUUAAAGCUGAGUUACUACAGUGCUUUCUGUGCAGUCUUUAAUAACUGAAAACUCACAGAGGUAGGUGGCCACACAGUGGGUAGAAUGUUGGGCUUGGAGCCGGGAAGACCUGAAUUUGAAUCCUGCCUCAGACGCUAGCUGCUCAACCCUGAGCAGGUCAGGGUUAUCUCUCAGUCCCAUUUGUCUUCAGCUGGCAGAUGUAAUAAUACCUUACGUAAUAAUACUUUAUGUUAUGAGAAUCAAAUGAGCUAACAACUUAUAAAACAAUUUACAGGCCUCAAAUACUAGUUAUUUUAAUAAUUAUUACAGAGACUAUUA